GUUUUGUACAUGUAUACUGUGCUAUAGGUAAUCCCAAGGUUGGAAUGGACUACUGGAGUGGUCUAGUCCAAGUUCUUGCUACAAUGGGAAUUAAAAAAAACAAAAAACCUUUUUAUUAAAAGGUCUUAACAUUUCUGAAACGUUGCCUUUGCAUAAGGCAAAAAGGAAAGUGUUCCAGCUGAGUUUUGACCUCAGAAGCAGACUCCAAGCCACAAAAGCCUUGGUAGUUGGAGCAAAGCAGGGAGCACAAGACACUCUUGGAAGGAGCUUUCUCCAUGUUCAAGGGGGAAUGCACUGUGGUGUUAGCAUGGCACACAAUGAACUGAAUGGCACAGAAUGGCUCAUUAGCUCCUCACUGUAGGAAUCCUGGAGCACAGCUGUUGGGGAUGACUAGUGAUGGCGACUGGGUACAAGGAAGCAUGAUUUUUGUGCAGAAGAUCCUGGACCUCAGUGGCUUAGCCAAAUCCCUGCCAACCUCAGACAUCCUGAAGCUGCAUGAACCCAUUUUUAAAGCAGUGCUGCUGAGGAACUGAUGAAUCUCUCCUUGCAUCCAUCCUACUCUGUAUCGAGUGUCCACCCUAAGCCUUCCACCUUGGGAUCUGGAGAGGUGAGGAGAGCUGGUGGAUGGGUGGCUUCUGAGCCCUCACCAGUCACUGAAAGGAUGCUAAAUGCAUGCAUGGCCACUCUCUGAAACUCAUUUGGGCCAGCUGCAAUGAAUCAGCUGUUUGAAAUAGUGAUGAUCAAUAGGAAUCCACUUCAGCUGGGGAGAAAGCUGCUUCCCAGUGAAACGCUGCCCUGUUGCUGAAGAGAAGAAAGCAAUGAAGAUCUGGGAGCUGGACCCAAGGUGGAUCUGUGUCUGUCUGCUUGACCCUGGGCAAAUCACUUUGCUUCUCGUGUUCCCCCUUGAUUAAAAGAUGCCCCAAAGCAGCAGUGAUGUGCUUCCCUGGGAUUUGUGUUCCUGUGGCCUUCUGAGCCUUGGUGCUCCUCGUGCUUUCUGUCCCAUCCUUGCAACGCGGACAAGCACGAAGCUGUCCCAUGGGCCGUAUCCCCACCCUGCUGAGUGCCAGAACCCCGGGGUUAUAGCUUUGCAAAGCAAGGUCCUGCAAGUCACCCUGAGUGCAGAGCUGGGAGCAGAGGACCCGAGUGUACUGGGAGGGUUUAGGAGAACAAAGGGUUUUCAACAAAACCUCAUCUGGCUAAUCCUGCGUUGACCCUGCGUGCAGAACAAGGUGGUGAGCACGCCCGAUUAAAUUGUGUCUGCUCCGUCAUGAAUUAUGGAUCUUUGCAUUUCCAUUUUCUGCUGCUUGUUUGACGGUGUUCGCCUCUGUUGAUAAAGAUUAAGCCACCUGCUUCAAAGCACAGCACUGUGCUUGGUGAGGAAGAGGGGAGGGCUC
rnacentral:lncRNA from 1 species